AGCAACAUAUGGAAACAGGAGAUCUAUUGGCACGUCCAAGACACAAAGGCCAUUCUUGAAAAAUCACAGCUGUGAUAUCUACAAUAACUGAACUACAAGAAAGCUGCAGCAAUCCCUGCAGAAAGUGGUCGAACUCUGUUUUAAAACUGUGCCAGUUCCUUGUCUCAGCUGCUUUGGCUUGAAGGUUGAUCCAGAUUUUCAUGCUGCUCAAGGAGCUCACAGAACCAGC
rnacentral:lncRNA from 14 species